rnacentral:ncRNA from 1 species
GUAAAAAUAAGAAAUUAUCGAAUAGACUCGUUCAAACGAGAGCUGCUGUGUGGCAGCAA